rnacentral:rRNA from 1 species
CGUGUAGGCGGGAAAGUAAGUCAGAUGUGAAAUUCCAGGGCUCAACUCUGGCGCUGCAUCUGAAACUAUUUUUCUUGAGUGAUGGAGAGGAAAGUGGAAUUCCUAGUGUAGCGGUGAAAUGCGUAGAUAUUAGGAGGAACACCAGUGGCGAAGGCGACUUUCUGGACAUUAACUGACGCUGAGGCGCGAAAGCGUGGGGAGCAAACAGGAUUAGAUACCCUGGUAGUCCACGCUGUAAACGAUGGAUACUAGGUGUAGGGGGUAUCGACCCCCCCCUGUGCCGGAGUUAACACAAUAAGUAUCCCACCUGGGGAGUACGGCCGCAAGGUUGAA